rnacentral:rRNA from 1 species
UACGUAGGGGGCAAGCGUUGUCCGGAAUCACUGGGCGUAAAGGGUGCGCAGGCGGUCGGGUGUGUCAGAUGUGAAAUCCCGAGGCUCAACCUCGGAACUGCGUCUGAAACUACUCGACUAGAGUACUGGAGAGGGUAACGGAAUUCACGGUGUAGCAGUGAAAUUCGUAGAUAUCGGGAGGAACACCAGUGGCGAAGGCGGCGACCUGGGCCAAUAUUGACGCUGAGGUGCGAAAGCGUGGGGAGCAAACAGG